rnacentral:rRNA from 1 species
GUGCCAGCCGCCGCGGUAAUACGUAGGGGGCGAGCGUUGUCCGAAUUUAUUGGGCGUAAAGCGCGUGUAGGCGGCUCUUUAAGUCAGAUGUGAAAUCCUGCGGCUCAACCGCAGAACUGCAUUUGAUACUGGAGGGCUUGAGUGUGGGAGAGGAAAGUGGAAUUCCUGGUGUAGCGGUGAAAUGCGUAGAUAUCAGGAGGAACACCCGUGGCGAAGGCGGCUUUCUGGCCCACCACUGACGCUGAGACGCGAAGGCUAGGGGAGCGAACGGGAUUAGAUACCCCAGUAGUCC